CCUACGGGUGUCAGCAGUGAGGAAUAUUGGUCAAUGGACGCAAGUCUGAACCAGCCAUGCCGCGUGCAGGAAGACGGCUCUAUGAGUUGUAAACUGCUUUUGUACGAGGGUAAACGCAGAUACGCGUAUCUGUCUGACAGUAUCGUACGAAUAAGGAUCGGCUAACUCCGUGCCAGCAGCCGCGGUAAUACGGAGGAUUCAAGCGUUAUCCGGAUUUAUUGGGUUUAAAGGGUGCGCAGGGGGAUUUUUAAGUCAGCGGUCAAAUCGUGGGGCUCAACCCCAUCCAGCCGUUGAAACUGGGGAUCUAGAGUGUUCGAGAGGUAUGCGGAAUGCGUGGUGUAGCGGUGAAAUGCAUAGAUAUCACGCAGAACCCCGAUUGCGAAGGCAGCAUACCGGUGCACAACUGACGCUCAGGCACGAAAGCGUGGGUAUCGAACAGGAUUAGAUACCCCUGUAGUC
rnacentral:rRNA from 1 species